GGGCUAGGCGAGCAGCCCGCCAUUUGCCGUAGAUGGCCUCGACAAACCCAUUCUGGUUAAGCCAGAAGAGCUCAAAGAGGAACCACAGAGGGGGUGGCGAACGGUCGUCAUCGGAGGAGAGGAUGAGCGGAACAAGGUCCGACCCAAUCCGCGUAAUCGCCCGAAGCAAAGAAAGGGGACAACGGAGCUCCCACUCGGGGGGAUACAAGAACCCCGUCCAGGACAGAGCGGAUCGGCCUGGCGGUUGGUCGAGGUAAAUCUGGCGCCAACCCUAUCUAGCUCCCGGAGGCCAAGUUCGGUGAUGCAAUCAUCGAACAUCUGCAUCCGAGGGAAGUUGACCAAUUAUUGCUCUUGUCGUCCACCAAACAAAUGAGGUUAAAAUCACCACCAACAACCACAGGAAGCUGAGACGCAUCGACUUUCCUCCUCAACUCCUCAAGGAAAGAAGCGGAUCGACUGUGGUCGGCAGGGUCAUAGACCACGAUCACUUCCCACUUGAAGUUCAACACAUGUUCGAAGAUCUCCA
rnacentral:lncRNA from 1 species